rnacentral:misc_RNA from 1 species
CAAUCAGCUAAGGAAAACCAUGGAAGUGCUAAGAAGAAUCGAGUUGCUGUCAUUGCUUCCAGAAUACAUGGUGUUGGAGACAAUGAAGUGUCAGUUCUUGUUGCUCAUGGCUCCAUGGACCUACCACAGCAUAGUCUUUUUAAUAUUGGUUAUUCCGUAAAGGAAGAUGUAAAUACUGCACAUGAGAAUAAAACCCUCCAACAAAAUGAUGAUUUUUCUGAACAAG